CGCACUCGAGCGGGAGAGUUUCGCGGCGGCCAGCCGCGGACGCCGAAGGAGCAACACCUCUCCGUCAACCUCUCAGGCACCCGGACCGCGUGAGCUAA
rnacentral:ncRNA from 1 species